GAUGAACGCUGGCGGCGUGCCUAAUACAUGCAAGUCGAGCGAACAGACGAGGAGCUUGCUCCUCUGACGUUAGCGGCGGACGGGUGAGUAACACGUGGAUAACCUACCUAUAAGACUGGGAUAACUUCGGGAAACCGGAGCUAAUACCGGAUAAUAUAUUGAACCGCAUGGUUCAAUAGUGAAAUACGGUUUUGCUGUCACUUAUAGAUUGAUCCGCGCCGCAUUAGCUAGUUGGUAAGGUAACGGCUUACCAAGGCAACGAUGCGUAGCCGACCUGAGAGGGUGAUCGGCCACACUGGAACUGAGACACGGUCCAGACUCCUACGGGAGGCAGCAGUAGGGAAUCUUCCGCAAUGGGCGAAAGCCUGACGGAGCAACGCCGCGUGAGUGAUGAAGGUCUUCGGAUCGUAAAACUCUGUUAUUAGGGAAGAACAAAUGUGUAAGUAACUAUGCACGUCUUGACGGUACCUAAUCAGAAAGCCACGGCUAACUACGUG
rnacentral:rRNA from 1 species